UCUUCACCCCCUAAGGCAAUGGCACUGCUUUCUGUGCAACACUAAUGAGGUGACCUUAUUCUUUUGAUGACUUCUACUUGGUCAACAAGCACACUGCUGCACAGCCAAAAAUCUAAACUGGACCAAUGCCUGACACGGAAAUACCUGAGGACCCCAGGGCCAGCUCCACCACAGAAAAGGACCAUUGCUUGCAGCUGGAGAAACAAAAGGAUUAUUCUCUGUUUACAGGAAAUUAACCAUACUGCCAAUGGUAAGGCAUCUCUCUCCAGAAAGUGAGAACCAAAACUAAUAUAUUAGCUGUGAACAACAAGAAAAAUAUACUACUAUUCGUCCUAAUAUGUUAACUAUCCAAAGUAAAAUGUGCAUUUAAAAAAGAUGAAAAAGUCACCAACACUUUAAAUGUGAACAAGAUAAAACAGCCUGGGAACCACUUGGAAGUUCCCUCCAGCACCCGAUUUGAAGCUUGCGCUCUGAGAACCCCUGACCUCAGCAAAGGGUUAAUUAAGGAGCUGUGUAGCUGUGACCAACAUGCUGUGAGGACAGCUGACACCUUUGUGGGUACAGAUCUUCCGCGGCUCAAAGUGCUAUCAACAUUAGAAUUCCUUGAAGGCACAGGAUGGAGACACAAAGCUGUCGGCCUGAAUGAUUAAUAAACCACAGCCAGGAUUUAGUAAGUGAAUCCAUAUUAUAAAAAGCAGACCUUGAAACUCCUGGAUGCCAGCCAACUUUGGUGCAUCAAGAAGCCAGUCGGUGUACAAUGUGAUGAUUCCACAAUUCUCUACACUUUUCAGUGCUCAUCAAGAAAUGAAAGAUCAGUCUAGAUCAAGGACAACAAAUGGAUUUCACAUCACAUGAGAACUUCAGUAAGCUGACAUUGGAUAUCUGCUAUGCUCUGCCGAGGAUUCUGGAGCAGGAAAGAGUGGUAUGCUCAAUCAGCAAUGCCCAUCCCUGCUACCUCUGGAAAUAAGUGAUGAACACGCUAUACCCCAAAUCAAACUACUGCACGGCAAGCACACGAUAACAAAGGGAAAA